GUUUUUGCGCAUGCAUUGGUCUCACUUCCCUCAGAGCGCAAAGACAGACGGACAUGGCCUGUGGAAGGAGUCAGUCUAAACAUGUGAAUAGAUAUGCAUUUGUUAUCUGAACAAUAAUACGGAGACAAUAACGAGACGGUGUAAAACAGGACAGGAAGGACGUCCACUGAUCAAACAUGAAGCUUCUACUGGGAACGUUAAUGGUGUUAAUGGUGUCAGGUGAGGACAUGGAGACUGUCGAAGCCUUCUUAGGAAGAGACAUCUGUCUGCCGUGCACCUGUCUGGAUAGGAAUUUGUCUAAUGAAUUUAAGUGGCAGGUACAGAAACAAAACGAAAGCCAGCUGAUCUACAAACAAAUCAACAAACUGGCUUCAAAGUAUGGUGAAAGCUACGAAGGCAGAGUCCAGACAUUUCUGGAUCAGAACAUCAGCGACUGCUCUAUUCUCCUAAAGAACGUGACAGCGGAGGACCAGGGGACGUACAAGUGCAUUUUCUAUCAAGGAGAUCAAUACAACAACCCUGCGAUGAAUCUCAGGGUUUACUCACACCGCAGCGUUUUGCAGUACGCCCCCUUAAUCCUGGGUAAAGGCGACAAGGUGUUCCGGUGUGAUGUAAAAGGAGGCGACAGUGAGACUAUGAUUCAGUGGAGACAAGCUGGACAGGUUGUUGAAAGUUCCCCUUUGAUUGAGAUAUCUACCACACGCACGCAGCAUGCUCCUACUGGCCUCUUCAAUUUAAAAAGCGAACUCAAGACCAAACUCAGCUGGACCCCAGAGCCUGAAUGUGAAGCCAUACCACACCCUGCAGUCACUGCAGAGCCAUACAAAUCAGACAUCGUCAGGACACACACUUACACACUUUUGCCUCUUUUGUUUGUGGUGGUGGUUGGCUCUGUCCUGAUUUUGCAUUACCGAUGGAAAAACACAGAAGUAUCAGCGAGGACAUCAGAAGGUUAACCUGCCAACAUCUGAGGCAAAGUGACAAUGUGAAAAAUUACUACCACUGAAGACGUAGUUAUUCAGAAAUGUGGCAUGGUGCCUACAGUGACUGGUUACAGGCAGGUCACAUCCUGCGUUUGUGGAAUGUGGUCCUGAAAAGGACAUCCAUUUUGUGCUGAUGUUUGCGAAGUGUUUAUCUUUUACUUUCUUUGCAGCUGAUUUGAGAACAGCAUUUACAGACAAACAAAAAAUACUUUGUCACGUUAAACAGAACAACUCCUGGCAACGUUUUGGAAGCAGAGAACAAUUUAGGCUUCUUUCAUGCUGCGUCUUGUGAGGUACUCAUCCAUCAGUGCUCAGUUUGUGUGCCACCUGCUGUAGAUGGUGGUCAGCACAUGUGUGGGUGUGGAGAAGCAGGCAGAAGAAAUGACACAGAGACCAAGGAACAUUAGAGAGAAGUCACACCGAUGAUCAACACUCGAACUUGUAAAAUUCAUAAGUCAUAAAUAUAGUCAUUCAUAGUCAUACAUUUCAUCAUGUUUUCAAUAUCAGAGUUAAAACACUCGAUAGAGCCCCACCAUUUUUAGAAGUAGCAAAGAGCACAUGUAGAUAUAUCAUUUAUAUUGUAUAAUUUGGCUGCACAGAAAAUAUCUGCAGCCACAGUUUGUCUGUGUCAUCGUGUGAGUUUUGGAUUGUGUAACCACAGUAGCUCAACCCAACAGUCUUCUGUGAGGUCAAGAACCAAAAAAAAAUGUUUUUGUCAGUGACGCCUGACGGAUUUGAAUGGAUCACUUUAACAGUUUUACUUCCUCAUUUAAAAAGGCUGCCAUGCAGACACUAAGAUAAAGAGUAAUAUUUUGUUUGCUGACUUCAAAUCAGUUCAUCAUCUUUGUGUCACUUCUCUUAUGUCAUAAUCUAUAUUAUGUGCUUCUCCAAUCUGAGCUGACCGCCAUCUGCCAGCUUCCUCCUCAUGCAGCGCUCUAAAACGGCCUUUUCUUUAAAAUAAUGCUGGACCCUGGUUUUUGUACUACGAUGCUAUUACAUAAAAACUCAGCUUUCCAAAUGGUAAAUGAUUUACAUGUUAUUAACACGUAGAUAUUCACCAUAGUGACUAUAUGCAAUUUAAUCUGAUGUAGACCCUUUUCAACUACAUCAGCUUGUCUUUCUUUUAUUUGUUUGUUGUCAUACAGGCAUCACAGUUACAUUCUUUGUUUAUUGCUAAACAAUUGAUACAAAUAUUUUAAGAAUUCUAGGUAUGUUCCGAUAGUGUGCUGAUUACAAAGAAUCUUGUAUCUUCUGUUCUAUGUGUGUUUUCUGUUUGUGGGGGAGGAAACAGAGGAGGAGGCCCUGUGACAUUCAAGAGAUGCAACACCACAUAACUGUGAAAUAAAACUGCUUAGCUGAAAAAUGUUGCUAAGCUG
rnacentral:lncRNA from 1 species